AUCAAACAUUAUUGACUGACCUUGAUACUUUUAAAUAGAUGCAAAAAGGAACAGAAGGAAAGAUGAUAGUACAUAAUGAGAAAAUCUGUCUCAUUUCUCCCAAUUAUCUGGUUACUGCCCAGCUUUAAUAUAUGUAAAGAAGAGCCUUGUUCUGUGGAGUGUCCUCUUGAUGACAGAGAAGCCUGAGAAUCGCUGUCCUUGCCCUUCAGAGUGUGCAGAGGUUAAGAAAUUGAUUGGGAGGUGAAGAAAAAACAACCCACCCCAAAGACCCAUGUUUGGACAAGUAAUGAAGCUUUUAUACAAGAUCCCAGCAAAAUUAUUCCGGACAUGAUGAUUUCUUUGUUAAGCUUGGGUGACUUCCCAGUUCUCACUAAGUGCAUCCAUUUAGAUUGGAGAAGUGCAGCAAACACCUGAAAGUACUUGUGGCAGAAAGGACCCAUGACUUAAUGCAUGAACAACAGAAAACCGGCUGCCUGCUCU